AGUCGAACGGUAGAGGGGCAACCCUUGAGAGUGGCGAACGGGUGAGUAAUGCAUCGGAACGUGCCCAGUAGUGGGGGAUAGCCCGGCGAAAGCCGGAUUAAUACCGCAUGAGACCUGAGGGUGAAAGCGGGGGAUCGCAAGACCUCGCGCUAUUGGAGCGGCCGAUGUCAGAUUAGCUAGUUGGUGGGGUAAAGGCCUACCAAGGCGACGAUCUGUAGCUGGUCUGAGAGGACGACCAGCCACACUGGGACUGAGACACGGCCCAGACUCCUACGGGAGGCAGCAGUGGGGAAUUUUGGACAAUGGGCGCAAGCCUGAUCCAGCCAUGCCGCGUGCGGGAAGAAGGCCUUCGGGUUGUAAACCGCUUUUGUCAGGGAAGAAAUCUUCUGGGCUAAUAUCCUGGGAGGAUGACGGUACCUGAAGAAUAAGCACCGGCUAACUACGUGCCAGCAGCCGCGGUAAUACGUAGGGUGCAAGCGUUAAUCGGAAUUACUGGGCGUAAAGCGUGCGCAGGCGGUUAUAUAAGACAGAUGUGAAAUCCCCGGGCUCAACCUGGGAACUGCAUUUGUGACUGUAUAGCUAGAGUACGGUAGAGGGGGAUGGAAUUCCGCGUGUAGCAGUGAAAUGCGUAGAUAUGCGGAGGAACACCGAUGGCGAAGGCAGUCCCCUGG
rnacentral:rRNA from 1 species